GAUGAAGAACGUAGCGAAAUGCGAUAAGUAAUGUGAAUUGCAGAAUUCAGUGAAUCAUCGAAUCUUUGAACGCACAUUGCGCCCGCCAGUAUUCUGGCGGGCAUGCCUGUUCGAGCGUCAUUUCAACCAUCAAGCCCUGCUUGCGUUGGGGUCCUGCGGCUGCCCGCAGGCCCUGAAAUCCAGUGGCGGGCUCGCUAGUCACACCGAGCGCAGUAAUACAUCUCGCUUUGGGCGUGCGGCGGGUUCUUGCCGUUAAACACCCCCUUUUUACCAAGGUUGACCUCGGAUCAGGUAGGAAUACCCGCUGAACUUAAGCAUAUCAAUAAGCGGAGGA
rnacentral:misc_RNA from 1 species